rnacentral:lncRNA from 7 species
GUCGGAGCGGGUUGGGACGGUAAGUGCUGUGCUCUGCUGGGAUCCCGCUCCUCUCCGGCCCGGGGGGAGCCUGUUCGUGGGGCGCUGCGGGCUAUGCGAUCUCUCGGCCGCCAGCCCGGGACCGCUCCUGCGAUGGCUGAGGCUUUGCCUGGUGCGCGGCCCCAGCCCCUCACUUCCCAACGCUUCCUUGCAGCCAUGUCGGACGAGCUCAGCGAUCUGCUGCGGGAAUUCGAUGAGGUCGUCGAGGGCUUCGACAGGGGCCCCGCGAGUCAGUAUGAGCGGCACCUGGAGGAGCUGAAGAGGAAAGCGGGGCACAGCGUGUACGACAGCGGCAUCGAUGAGCUGGAGAGUACCAGCACAUCCCCAGCGAGCAGCUUGAACUCCAGUGAGGAAGAUCUCAACACCCACACUGGUCCUUACUCCUCUAAAGCUAAACUUGGAGACACGCAGGAGCUGGAGGAGUUCAUUGCGGAUCUGGACAAAGUAUUAGAGGAGAUGUAAGAUGUGGUUUUGGUGGAAAGUUUGGAGGAGGAUCCACGGCAGAUACACCUCGUGCCUCCCUGAUGUACCCCAUGCUUCUGUGUCCCUGCCAUCCUGCAGCUGAGUGGAUAACAGCUCCUGUGUGCUGUGACAUGCUACUUCAUGCCAGGGAAGGGCAAUCCCAGCCACAAACAUGGACUGAUCCUGCCUCGACAACUGCUUCUUGCUCCAGCAGCUGGAGAACUGGGAUGUGUUUCUGGUGCUGUGGGGUUGGGGUGCUGGGACAGCUGCGCUUGUGCCAGUCUCAUGGCACUGGCAAGCUUAGGCCUGUGUGUUCAGCUUUGCGUGUCCAUGGCACCCCCAGCCAAGGAGAAGGAGGAGCUCACCAGACCCUGGGGUCUGGGCAGGGCAGGCUGGCAUAAAGGCAGUGGGAGCCUUAGGAUGGUCCUCAACGUUGUGGACACAACCAUGGAACAGCACUUUGAUCCUUGCCUUGGGCCUGCCGCAAGAUCUGCUGAGGUCUGCUGGCUGACAGCUGUGAAUGAUAGCAUAGUCAGCUCUGCUUUAAUUGUUGAGCUUCAGUCUGCUCCCAUGUGCAGGACAGGACUCUGCUGGCACUAAGAUAUGAAACCCUCUUGGUGAGGGCAUCAGGCUAUGCCCUGAAAGGGGGGCUGGUGGCUGCUGACCAAGUGGAUCUGGGGAGUUUAUCCUCUGGAUUCAACAGUGGCAUGAUGCUGAUAUGGGCAAAGAUCAACUUGCAGUGCUUCAUUGAUACCUUGGUGUCCUCUCCUGGUUUGGGAAGCCUGCUCCUGCAGCAGUGUGUCAGGCAGUGGCAGCCAUUGCUGGCCUGUUGCUUCUCAUGGGUAUCUGCAAAUAAGGCCCCUGCCUGGACCCCAAGUGCCUCUGCCCUGAUUUCUGCUGUUAAUACUGUAACAAUGAUGUACACUGUAUAGUUAAUGUAUUUUUUAUGAAUGGGAUUUUAAGUCUC